ACACCCAGGGACAGAAUAGCAG
rnacentral:miRNA from 15 species